rnacentral:lncRNA from 1 species
UUGAAUAAUACCAGAUAAAUGUCAUAAAAGUUAGCAAGGACUAUCGUUCAUUGCUGCCAAUAGAUAAAAAGCGUGCAUAUAUAGGGGAAUUGCAUACCGCAGCGCAGUAGUGAACCACUUUAACUUCAUCGAGUUCCACGUUCUCCGGAUGGCGCCAAAGCAUCGCUAGAACCAAAUUGUACGCCAAAGAAAUGGGUUUGUACGUAGUUUGGAAGAACAUGUUCAAGAAAUCCUGUUCCACAUCCAGGUAGAAAAAUUGUACCAUCAGUAUUUAAAACUUGGUCCGUGGUGCAUGAAGUAUGGAUUCUAGUUCUUGACCUUUUCUAACCGAAGUUAGAGCUACGAUUUUUACAAACCUAAACUCCAGAAGAACCUCCAAACCUAACCGAAGUAUGGAUUCUAGUUAAGACCACGGAAAAGGUAUUAAGUGGUAGUCAAAUUAGAUAGUCAAAGGAGAGAGAAUAAAUGGAUGUGGCCGCAAAGAUGUAUCAGACCUGCUCUGCAAAUAGUGUUGGCGGAGUGAUUUGGAGAGUUUCAAGCAGAUUUUCGUAGGUCAAACGGCUGGGCUCAAAGACAAACAUGCCAGCGUUGAAAUACAGAGGAGGAGGUGAACCCAUAUCAGCUGGCCAGGUAACUUUGUCCGGGCACUGUUGGCAAUAUCCAAUGGAGUACUGUGGGGAAUUACUCCAUGUCUUCUCGCAGAAGCAAUCCAUCACUGCAUAAAAGUAUCCAUCUGCUGCGUCAAACAGAUGGUCGAUGUUGUCAUAAACUUGGAUGUCUGCGUCUAGGUAGAUCAUCUUGCUGUACUCCUCAAACUGUCAUGACCACAGUUAUUUGAUUAGUCACUCCUAAUAGUAACCCAAAUAUGAUUGCUCUAAAAUACAAAACAGAAAUGCUAGAACGGCUUAAACAUAGAGCUGUGGAUUAAGGAUUACUGUAACAUAUUAUAGCAUCACUCCUGAUUAUAUAGAUAGAGUGUGGCGGUGAUGGUUUUUUUCUUUUAUUGUUGUGGUGAAAUAAUGAAAUUAGGAUAUAAAAGGAUAUUUUCUGGCUUUUGCGUUUCUCAGCCUUUGUCUUGGGGCUUCUUUGUUUCUUAAGGAAGAUUCUAUCUAUCAAGUGCAGGUCAAGCUUAACCUAAGCUGAUCCAAGUGACAUGGGCCAUAGAAGAUUUUGGCACACAAACAGGAAGCAGAAACAGAUACGCUUCACUGAGUCAUGAUACCAUAGGCAGGCAAUGGCUAUGCACACAUCUGGUAGACCUAUUAGACUAAGACUUGAAAUGUUUUUCAGGUUUACUUACGUUCCAUAUGCGGAGCUUGGAAUAAUUGAUGACAUAGUAAGCCAUAGCAAACUGAAUCUGAUUUUCAGGAGGGUAAAUGGGCUCAAUUUCACGAACAAUGCAACCCUGUGACCUUAAUAUUUCCCGAUGUUCCUCGGGAACAUCUGGGAGGAUGGCAACCACAAGGGGGUAGGCACUGUUAACCUUCCUCAGACCUUUAGCCAAUCCAACCACUCCUUUCACGUAGUCACCAUUUCCAGCUAAAAAUGUAACGUACGCUCUCUUCGAGUAGCCUGUGUUGCUGAGUGUUGAGACUUUCCCUGCGGCGGUGAAGGCUUCUGCGGGUACUUCUUGAGGGGCCAUGGCUAAGCUUGAUGUUGUCGGGGUGGAUGGGAAUGCUUUUCGAGGAGUGUUGGGGAAGUAAAUUAGCAAAAACCUAGGAGGAGGAGGAUGCCUUCGUUGCUGGGUUCAUCAAUGGCAUCCUCAGCCUCCUUAAAUAGCAAAAAUAGGAAUCUCACAUGCAGCCUAAAUGAACCAUAAAUGAAAUUCAUAAAUAAUUUAUUCUCCUUUUCCUUUUCAUUUCAGGAAAAUAUAAAUUGUCUAAAGUCAUGGGUCAUUGUUAAAUUUGACAGGAACGAAUGAAUGACGACCAUUUUUUGCAGCUCACCUUACCCUUAUAGGAUUUGCUAGAAUGGAGCCAAUGAGGGAGAGUCAAUUGCAAAAUGGUCAUCGUAUUAAAGUCUUUUUCGCAUUUAGUUAAUUCUUCCUAAUUGGAAAUCGAGGGUAAGGAAAUGACAAGGCUCUGGAGUGGAUGUCCUUGUCUUCGGAAUAUUUAUUAGAAAGAUUUUUUCGGGUCUGAUAUCUAAAUUUAAAAUCGGAUUUGGGAGUCAAUAGAUAUGUGAUUGGAUCAAGAAAAGGAAACACAGGGGGCGUAGAUAAACUAUGCUUCGAUGUCGUGAAAAUUACUACACCCUAUACUAUGGAGGCUUUCAUCUUGUAGCUUAAGCACGGCAAUGAAGGAAAAAAACACAUUCCCUUUUGCGCUUGAUGACUAAUGAAUCUAGGGAUAUGAUCAUAUACAUUGAUUAUUCAGUAACAACAAAUUAUGCAUUAAUCGCACACUUUCAGGUCAGAUCCAUUCUCGCAAUUAUUUCGUCUUAUUUGUUUUUCUUCCCUUCCCCUAAUCCGACACAAUCUUUCUUUUCUUUUCGUUAUUAGUAAAAGAAACCCACCGGCUUGGAGAAGCUGCUACAAUUUUUUUUUUUUUCGAAUAAUAAGAACAGUUUGUAUAAUAGCCGAAUCUAAGGAGAGGAGGAGAGGAAGCCACAACUAGUGAUCGGAGAAAGGCAAUGAUUGAACUUUUGAUCUCUUAUUUCCAUCAAGACUUUGAAAACGUUUUGGUGACCAACAGCCCAAAAAACUGCUAGAAUGACGUCUUGGAGGAGCUGCUAGAAUGCAUGUUAAAAUCCAUACAGGAAAAACUGCCUGACCUAUGAUGCUGUUGUGAGCGAUGUCACAUGUUGAAACAGUCUUGAAUUUGCUUAAAAUAUUGAAUAUUUUAGCCUCAAAUUUCCAAGCUUUUUUAAAUUUUUUUGGGGGCGUUAAUGGAAGUCACUGACCUAGAAACUUCUUUAGAAUACCAGAAACUCCCAAUUUUUUGUAACCAAAAUAAAUGAAAAAGCAAAGAAAGAGGGCCGGCCAUCGACCUCCGGAACUUGUAGCCCAUAUAAUCGUAAACGCAUCAUUCUUGUAUUCUAAAACAUAGAAGAUCGAGACUCAACACCAUCAAUUUGCUUCUUUCUCAAUUACCUUAUUUAUAUUACUAUUAUCCUUGGAUUAUUGGAACAUUUGCAUUAAGAAAGUGGCAGUGCUGAAUUUGAAGAACUGAGCGUCCGCAAGAACCAAUACAACGAACAGCAAUUGAAACCAACAAAGGAAACAAAAAUUAGGUAUUGAUGUUGCUGAAAAGCAAUAAUCACUUCGAGGAAGAAGAGUUCAACAUCUGGACGCAGACCAUGCAGUAAAUGGCUACCAAGCAACAGGGGAAGAGGGAGAAGGCCAAAAUUUGCAGGCGGGAGAAUUUCUAUGGAAAUUGUGCAGAUGGCAAUCCCAGAAGCUUGCAUGUUAUGAUGGUAAUGACAAACGCGAAAAGGGGAUUCUCUGCGUCCCCGAGGUGAUGAUAAUCAGGUAAUGCGAUCAAAUUCUCGAUAUCGAUUUUCAAUAUCUUAUCAAAAUAUGCAAGAAUUUGGAAUUUAAUCAAUCAUUCGGAAAAACAAGAAAAAUCUCAAUGAAUUUAGCCUGCAUGGUUCCUUGUUAAAUUUUAGAGUAUAAAUUAAGAAACAACACAACACUUGUAAUUCAUAGUGAAAAUAAAAAAGAAAAUAGCUUAUUAACACUCGUAUUGAGACUCGAAAAAAUGAAUUUAGAUUUUUUAUUAAACUACUCCGUAUAUAUAAAGAGUGCAGAAAACAACUCUACACAAAUCCCAAUAUGAUGUACAAAACUCAAACAAACAUAAACUAGUCAAAAAACAAUAAAUAUGGAACUAUGUUUACAAAUAGACUCAUUGAACAACUACCUUCAAAAAUCUGCAGUAAAUUUGCAUAUCUAUGUAUCAAUUAUGAUCCAUCAAACUAAGGUAAAUUGCAAGAGUGGAAUAAAUUAAGGCCGUCUUUAGCACAUGAGGUCCAUGGUUCGCGAACCAUUAUGUAUCAAAAUUAAUUUCCUUUUUAGUAGAUUCGAAGGGAUUAGAAAGAAUAUACAAAUAUAUACAUGGGAAUCAUUAUCAUUAUUAUUAUUUUUAAAUUUGUCUUUCAAGAACUUAACAUCCCAAUGAUGAAUAACCAGAUGAACGUUUGGGUGGAAACUAUCACGAGCGAUGAUUAGGAUUGAAAGCGUGGAGGUCUAUCCCACCGAAAGGAUAUUCGUAAAACGUUCAAAUGAUUGAAGAGAAUUGUAGAAAGAUGAUGGCAAUCAUUUUCAGAAGAAUAUACCAUCAGCUUUAUGAACAAGUUGGAUCCCUGACCCUGACUGAUGUUCUCGAUUCCUUGUCCUGCUCCAGCUUUAGCUACCGUUCACAGAGUCCAAAAGGUCUCUCAGCAGGACAGAUGAAGAGGGAUUCUUUCCUUAGUACCCACGGCAUGUUUUAUGAUUCAGCCACCAUUGUUCGACAUGCCUCCUCGAAAGUGCUAUUCCCUCAGUCUUCUUCAAGGGUCAUUGCAUUGUUUAUCGUAAGUUUCUGAUCUUAUUUGCUGCAAAAUCAAUUCAGUUAAAACCCCAUAGAUCGUGUUAAUUCUCUUCCAUAUGAAGAAAAUAGCUCAAAGACCAGAUAAAAGAGCUCACUAUUUGCUUCCUACCUCCUUAGAAGGUAUAUGGUGGAGAAAAAAAAUGGUCUCUGUUGGAAGUACUUCUAAUUCCCCAGAUUGGUGUAUAAACGAGGAAGUUGCAACACAAAAGUAAGUGCAUUAUUUUUAUGUAACUGAAAUACAAGGCAAUUAUUUAUCUAAAUAAACAACAAUGAAUGAAAAAAGUGAGAAGAGCCAACUAAAGAAGAACAAGGAGGUCGGGAGUCCAAGGCUGGGCUUCGAGGUUAGCUUAGUAUAAACAUGCUGUUAAUUGGAUGUAUAACAAAAAGUUAAUUCUCUCCUCGAGAAACUGCAGGUUUUCAAAUCAAUAAUUCUCUCCUCGAGAAACAUACAUGCAUGUUUAAUGUGUUGCUAAUGGAAUCACAUCUUGGCCUUUACCGGCCACAAAAGAGAAGCCCACUUAGAACAAAAUAAUUGAGGGAGUGCUGAUUGAAUACUACUUCGUUGCGUUUGGAUAAACAUGUCAGAAUAUAGACACAUUUAGAUUUACUUAAUGAUGCUUUUGCCAAAGAUUUUGAAAGUGCGAGAAAAAGAAUGAGUUAACUUUGAUAAACAAUAAAAAAUGAAGUGGCAAAAGAGCAAACCUCUUUUCAUCUAGAGUUUGACGGUAAUUAUUCAAUAUUAUCCAGUUGUCUAAAAGAUAAUGAUAGGUUUGGAUAAGGAAAGAAAAAGGUUAAACAAGAAAUUAAACUGGACCAACUUAAAAAAUUCAUGAAAAUGUCUAGUGCCUCGUAUACUGACACCUAAAAGGUGGUAGACUCUUUUUUUUCUUUUUUUUUUUUCUAUGGAUGGGCCAAAAAAUUACGUCGUUAUGUUUAUUCAACUGAAAUUAUAGGGAACCCACUAAUAAUAAUAAAAAAAAGGACCUUCGUUGUAGCUCUAAGGACGUCGGGGAAAUGAUUUAUGAAAAAGAAAAUACUUUGGUGGCAAAUUAUUCACAAAAUGAGUGCUAGUGCCCUACACCUACAGGAAUUUUUAAGAUGUAAUAAAUGAUCCGUAGUUGACAUUAGACCGACUUGGUAUAUAUUAAUCGUACCUUAUGCAAUACUAUUUGGUUACAUCAAUGUUAAGAUGCAUCACAUGUGGUAAAAAAAAACUGGGAAAUGUUACCUUUUGAUCAUGUGAAAUAGACAAUAAUACUCCUAUUAGUUGAUGAACUUGCAACUGUCCCUUUUAAUGAAAUUGUAAUUGAAAUGAAAAAUAAGGGUUCUAUCAAAAAAAAAAAAAAAAGAAGAAGAGUAAGGGUGUUUUUAUCCAUUCACACGAGUAAUGAAGUGAAAAGAAGUGUCGCUACCAAAUAAGGGAGCAGCAUCCAAAUUUCCUGAAAAAGUUUUGAUUCAUCGUCAGCCAAAACUUAUUUAAAAUGAGUGGUAUUCAGUCACCUUUAGCAUAAAUAGUUGAGCCUCUGCAGUAGUUGCAGCGUGAUCUUCGCGAGGAAUCUAAUCCAUUUAGCUUGAUGGACAGCAACUUCAGAAUUGUCUCUAGUUCAAAUUCUUCAAGAACUUGUGUUGGGUUUCAAGUAAGUAAUUUGUGAUGCAUUAUCAGAUAGGAUUAUGACGGUGAUUAACGAGGGAGUUUGAAUUCACACACACAAACACAUAAUUUGAGUUCUGCACUUUCCACGAAGCAAGAAUCUUAUCAGUGGAGAGGAAAGACCAAUCUGGAGAAGCAAAGGACAAAAGAUUGAAAUUAUGAUGGAAAACUCCAUGGUGAACAGAUGAUGAUCUCCAGGACCUGGUGGAGAGGAAAGGACAAAGAUUGGUAAAAGAAUGGGUGGGAAUAUGGAGCAAUCAUAGAGUGCGUACGUACAGAUUAAGGAGUAGGAUUCUGUAUCCAAAAUGUACUGUACCAAAGAAAGAAGAAACUACUGGGAAACAUUACAAUGAGUUGGAACCACAGGUUGGCACUUGGGCUCCAAGUGUCAAACUCUCAGUUUGCGAAUCUUUUCAAUCUCAAACCUGAGAGGUGAGAAGACGCUUCGAGAUUUCCAGAUACUGGUGGUCCUUGUGGGAUGUGGCAGGAGCUAGACAGAAUUUUUUUUUGGUAACGAACAAGUGAAUUCUCAGUUGUCCAUUGUCUGGAAUUUGGAUACAUAUGUUGUUGAAGUGCAUGCUAAUUAGGACCAAUCUGGAGAAGGUCACAAAUGGGAAGCUAUGUACUUACCUUUUAGUAUUAUCCAUUUCAGACACAAAAACAUUUGCGUGAAAGAUGAAGAUUUUAGGAUUUGACUUAAUGUGGUAUAGUUGUCUAAAUAUGCUGAACAUAAUUGUUGCUCAGCCAGUAGGAGUAUGAUUGACUUCGUUAGAGUUUGAGAAAUCAGAAAAUCGAGAGACGAUGCAGGUUGGAAAAACUUUUAGCCACAAAAAAAAAUAUAACAAGAGUCGUAAGAACAUUAGUUCUUCUAUGGAUCUUUUUAUGAUAGAUGAGUUUACUAGAAAAACGUAUACAGAAAGAAAAAAGAGGGAAAGGACAAUAAAUGAUGAUUAUAAGCAUAACGCAAGACUGGGUGAGUUGAAUACUUUUUCAUUGGUUGGUUGAACAAUGCUCAUGACUAGACAGACUCGUGAAAAUUCUUUUUUUCUUUCGUUUUUAUUUUAAAAAAAAAAAAGAGUUGUAUUUUGGUUUUAUGUGUUGAUAUUUUGAGGGACAAGUUACAAACCGCCAGAUUUUCAAGUGGACCGAAACAUUUUGACUCGUUACGAGUAUACUCUUUUGCACUCAUGCAUGCAACUGAAGCUUUUGAGGGUUGAAGGUAACUGCAGCAGAAAACAGCAUUCUUGGGGGCCAUUUGUAUUUAGUUCGAAAACUCUAAAGUCGACAAAAUUGUAGUGAAUAAGUUUGGCCUUCGCGAAUUGUGGCAGCAACUUUAAAGCACAAAUAAUGAGUACGUUUGCUCAUGUCUCUCCCGAUCGAAAGGAAAGCUCUAACCACACGACAGUGGCUACUACUUUCGUGUGGUGGUGGCAUGCUUGUCAUUUGCCAAUCGUACUUCUUUCUAGUCUUAUGCACUCAUCCCUCUACUCCAUUUUCAAUACAUAUGUGUGUGUGUGUGUUGGACUACACUAACAAAUUCUAGAUGUGCAAUUUGAAAACUUUUCAGUGUUAGUGCAAGUUUUUACAAGUCUAUAUUCAUUUGAUAUUUCAUCAAGUUCGCUAUUACAAAGGCUAUAUCCUUUCCUACAGGUCUUCAAGUUGAUUAAACUGCUGGAGGAGUUGAAGUUUUUAGAAUUCAUCAUUUUAAAUUUUCUCCUUUAUCAUUAUUGUUAGAUGCUGUAAUUACAAUUUCGUGUUGAACUUUGAAUUUUUUUUGACAAUUCUAACAUAUUCGAGCUUUAUCGUAGAUUAACCAAAUGUUUAAUGUGAAGGGACAAAUGCUAAUAAAAUAUUGUUCUAAAUUCUACCAUCAUAAACUCUUACAGAAAAAAAGAAUACAAAAACUCUUACUAAUCAAGCGAAUACGUGCUUUGGUUUACUUCAAAUCCGGGACUUUUUGGGGGAAAAUCAACAAAUUUGGUUACUCUGUUGCAAUUCCACCGCUGCCAUUGCCAGCUUAUGAUGGUUUGCACCUACCUUUGAUAUAGUACAGCAUAUCCUUACCUUUACUCCUAAAGGACCAUGAACAGCGCUCAGGCCGCUACGAGCCCAAACUUAUUGCCACAUUCAAAACGACGAAAGAGACGACGGAGGAAGACAGGGAAGCGAACAUAACAAACCCGGAAUGUACCAAUUUGUCAUUCAAAUGAAUUUAUUCCGACCAUCUCGUGAAGACGAAAGAGAAAAAAACAAAAAUAGAAAACUCAAUCCAUCUCGCGCAGUCAAUACUCUCAUAAGAAAGGGCAUCCAGUUACAAUAAAUAAAAGAGUUUUAAUCUUUACUACAAUAUUGAUAUCCAACUUAAGUUGCCCCAAAAAAAAAAAAAAAAAAAAACCAACUCAAAGUUCUAGAAAUACUUCACACAAACUUCGGGAAAAAAAAAAAGCCUUACACUCAAGUAAUUAAUAUUGGCAAGCUUUUCACAAUGAAAAGAAACAAUAAUAAUAAUGACAAACAAUAUAAAGAAUAUAACUAUGACGGCAUUGGCAAAACCCGAAGUAGAUACCAAGUUAAUCUCUGUUUACAGGCUCAUACUUCCAUAGCAGUACCCAAACCUAGACAAACACUAGCAAUUACUAAAAAACCAAGUAUUGCAUUGCAAAUAGUGACUUGAAAGAUACAAAAGGACUCAAAACUGAAAUCCACGACCAUGACAACAGAAACAACUAGAUAAAAAGCCGCCUGCAUCCAGGAUCAACCCAUCAAAAUGUUACCACAUCACUUUAUGCCUGCAAUGAUGUAGAAAAAUUAGAAGCAAAGAAGAACAAUUUACGAAAAGCAAAUUAUUAAGAAUUUUGUAAAACAGUAACUGUAAAUGCACAUAUAAGUACUUGCCUUAUUAGCAAUAUUGUUAGAGAGCCAAUCCAGGCCUUCGUAGAGCCCCUCUCCAGAAGUUGCACAGGUGCUUUGGAUAUACCUGCAAGUUCCAAGAAUAUAUCCAAAACUUGAGGAUACAGGAUCAAUGUGUAGAUAUUGACAAAAGCCUCAUGCUUGCAAAAUUUACCAGUGGCGCUGCCUGAGGGAGUGGAGGCCAAGCUUAUCAGUUAUUUCAGCAGCAUUCAUUGCAUUGGGAAGAUCUUGUUUGUUAGCAAAUACAAGUAAUACUGCAUCACGUAGCUCAUCCUGCAUUGGAGAUCAACAUUCAAUAACAUAUUUACACAUGUAUUCGCAAGUUACUUCAAAACUCAAUUCUGAAAAGAUCUUGCUUCUGGUUUCAGCAAUUAAGUUUUCAGGUUCAGAUGCUAAUUCUAAGCAUAUGAACCUUUGCAAUCCAUUCAUUGUCCUUAAAAAUAGAUCCUGCAUGCAUAUGUAUCAACAAAAAGGAUCUUGGGUAUUUAACUACAGCGUCCUUUUACGUGAAACUGGGUUAAACGUCAUAAGCUACUGCAUCACCUGCUUAAUAAGGGAACCAUUUACCAUGAUGAGAGAGGAAGAUUGUCCGUCCUACUUGCUCAAGGUAAGAUGGCAGGCAACUUCUACCCCUCACCCCCCACCCCCAAAAACUCCCAAAAAAAAACUUUUAUUACUCUUUUGUUUCAUAAGUUACUCAAUUAUUAGCAGAGAUAUACUUCAGAAAGGGCCAGUACCUCAUUCAACAUCCUGUGUAAUUCAUCCCUUGCCUCCACAACACGGUCCCUAUCAUUGCUAUCUACCACAAAUAUAAGACCCUGAGUAUUUUGGAAGUAGUGCCUCCACAAAGGACGAAUCUGUCAAACGUCAGCACAAAUUUCUUCAUUGGACAUUGUAACCAGCGAAGAUAAUGAGAAAAUAAUAAAUCUAUAGCAAGGGAAAAUUCCUGAUAUUAACAAUCAAAAUAUGAGCAAAUGAGUGUAGCAGUUACCUUGUCCUGACCCCCAACAUCCCAAACAGUAAAGCUAAUAUUCUUAUACUCAACAGUCUCAACAUUAAAACCUGCAAAUUAGAACUGAACAAUUACUGCAAGCUCAGCUUCUUUGUAGCAAAACCCAAAAACCUAUACAGGACUCCUUGUAAAUUUGUGACAAGCUUAUAAUCAAGCUCAGCAACAGUUGUUGGAAUACCAAUAGACAACAAAGAUAGAAAAAUUGAUACACAAAAUCUUUACGAUUACUCACACACACACUAAAGGAUUUCAGAAAAUGCAAAAAUUAAGAUCACUGAAGAUUUCCCUUAAUUGAUAAAGUGAUUAAACAAAACACAUUGUUGGAAAAUUAUUCAAAAAAUUAAUCAGAAAGGUAUUUUGUUAGCCUUAAUUUGCCAUUUUGUUAGCCAUGAUUCAUUCAAACUUUGGUCAAUCUUAGAGAUCUGUAUACAAAAGAGCAUGUGAGGAUGAUCAUGAAAACCACACACAUAAAGACAACUGUUCCAAAUACACUCAUUCAUCUUCAUCUUCAUGUUCAUGCUAGAGUUUCCAAUUGAGGAAAUCUAAGAACAAUUCAGAACAUAUAAGAAGCAGCAAUUUCACUAAUCAUGAUGACAGAGCUCAUACCAAUGGUGGGAAUUGUGGUAACAAUCUCUCCGAGCUUGAGCUUGUACAAGAUGGUGGUCUUACCAGCUGCAUCAAGACCCACCAUCAGAAUGCGCAUCUCCUUCUUGGCAAAAAGCCGGCUGAACAGCUUCGUGAAUGUUAGCCCCAUUAUGCUUUCUUAUGUAAGAUCCCUGCUCAUUUGCAUAACAUUUCAUGGAUUACAAACAAAUACACAUUGCCUUUUAUACACGACUGAACACACAAAACCUAUUACCGCAACAGUUUCACAUAACCAGACAUUCAACGAUUUAUAUAGGAAAACAACAUCAGCAACAGGAUCCAGGAAAAAAACUAACAUCAGAAACACAACAGGAUCCAAUAAAAAACUAACAUCAGCACCACAUUACAAUCAUACCAAAAGCAAUAUUUUCUUCCAUAGUGAUAGAAGCCAUUCACACCAAAAGCCAAUACAUUACUAUCAUUUUCACAUGGGGUAACUUGUUAGUGUUGCUUAUGACACACUGUAGAUCCAAAAAAAAUAUAACUUCGUCUCAGAUCAAACGAUAAAGAAAUUAAGCUUAUAAGUUUCCGGAAAAUGUUAGAAAAGCAAACAAAGCAGUGCUUUAAAUCAGCAAUAAAUGACCUCAAACCACCUCAUAAUCAGCUCAAUAUCAUAAAUUUCCCCGAAAUAUCACCACUACAGUCAUACAAUUCCAAUAAGAAUAAACUCAUCAACUAUGACCUACGCAAGCAUUCAAAUCAACCGAUUAGAGAUAAUUUCGGAAGAAAUUCCUAGACAUAUCAAGGCAUCACAUUGAUUACCGGCGCAUGAUUCAUAGACUACACCAAAUCACAACAUCAAUCAGCUAAAAUCACAAAUUCUCGUCAUUUCCAACACGAAAACAGAAAUUUUCCAAGACGAAUCAACAAAUCACAUUUACAUCCUACGCAUCAUUAAAAAAACAAGGCAUCAGACUCACAACAUCAAUCAAUUAAAGCUACAACUUUACGAAAAUUUCAAAAAAUAGCAGAAAUUUGGGUAAUCGCCGAAGGAAUCACGAGUUGCACCUUGAAUAAACAGUUAAACCGUACAAAAUCGACAAAAGCGACGGGGAAAAUGAAGAAAGCACCAAAAUUGAGAAGAAAACUAGUUACCUGAGGAAGGAUUUGACAGAGGGAAGAGAGGGAUCUGAGGUGAUGAGAGAGACUCGAAAAUAAAAACGAAAGCUUGAGACCAACGCGUAAUUAUGGGGGAAUGGGAAUUUCAACUUGAGGUCCUAAAUAAAGAGCGACGCCCACAGGCCCCAAGUUGAGGAUGUUCUUGGAUUUACUGGAUUGCCAUCUGGUUCCAGUUCGAAUAACGCAAACUGCCAGUACUGAUGAGUUGGUAGAUCAUUAGAUUACCGCGGCAAAUGCAUUCCCAACCGUUGGAUUUUUCAGUACCAGUUGUUUGAUGAUGCCACGUGUCGGUUCUCACGAAGUCUUCAGAAGAAGUAGUAGUAGUAUUAGGGUUUCAUUAAACCAUCCUUCCUGGAAAAAAAUUAGUAUGAGAAAAUAUAUAAUAAUGUUAUGCUCGCUGUUAUGGAUUGCUUUCGUUCGUGUGAAACGUUAUGGAUUUGCUUAACUACGAGACGAAUAGCUAGCUGUCCAAUGUGGACCAAUGCUCUGCGACCUUCUCUUCCGGAAGAAACUAACAUACCAUACCAUACCAUACCAUACCAUAUGGGUCUAUUUCAUUGACCACAAAAUUCCCGCCCGUCUACAACAAUUAAUAAAUAUGUUUGCAAGAUUAGAAACUACUACACCAUAUGGUUCUGUCCCUGAGCAAAUCAAAAGAUCCUGGUUUUAACUGACAUGUAUGCGUGUGUAUAUAUAUAUAUAUACACAAACACACACACACACACACACGGGUGACCAUUCCGACCGAACAUGGCAUGGUGCUGAUAACAAGAUGGAACGGCAAUUUUCCGUCUUAUUAUGGUGCUUGCCCAAUCAGCGCCAAUACUGAGCCCAACGGUGUAUGGUCUCGACCAUUUGGGGGAAUAAUGCACUAACACUCUCAUUUAUGAGAUCCUGGAAAAAGUGAAUGCACUCCUCAUCAUCCAAGUCCAGCCGAAACUUCUCUUGAAGCUAUAUAUCAAGGAUUCAAAAACCACCUCAAUAAAAUGUUAGCAAUAAUUCUCAAUAGAGCGCAAGUAAACAGCAGCGUCACCUUUAGAAUGCCUUUUUCAGGAUCACAAGCUAUGUCAGGAAUAUUGGAACCCGCCAUCAGGUGAAACAGAUUCAAUAUAAGGUUGCUUGAUUUCCGGAGAAUAUUGUAUGCUUCACAACAGUAUGAUUUGAACCUCGUAUAGUAUUGGCUGCAAGAAAAUAAAUUUUGGAAAAUGAAAUGUAGCAUAUCCUCAGAACUAUUUUCCCCGACAAUCCCACCACCACCCAAGAGACCUAAUCGCUGCAAGAAAUGGGUUUCUUUCUUCAUUUGUCAUACAAGCAUAAUUAUUCUCGAAACUCAAAGACCAACAUGACCGAACAAACAGAUAGACUUCAGAGAUCAGCGGGAAUACCUCUCAGCUCCUCCCAUAGCCUCAACCAUUUCUUUGCAAAGUUUCAUGGGUGGUGGAAAGGGUUUUGGAUCCCGACCUAGAAUGAAACCAAAAUCAACAUGCAAUAGGCGACCAUCAUCUCUAAGCAGAAGGUUAUCCAAGUGCCUAUCAGCCAACAAAAUUAAUCCAUUAGGAAAUGCAAUAACUCGGCAUACAAAUCUCAAGACACAGGCAUGAUGUUGCACAGUCAAAGCAGAUAAACACACAACAAUAGCACACUUCUUCCAGUAUCAUAGCUUUUAACACACUGCAAACAUCUACAAUGCAAAAGUUUUACCAUCAGGCAGCCAAUCAAAGUGACUGAUACUCUAUACGUGUCUAUAAACUCAUUGCAAUCCAUCCCCUUUGCCAAAACAAACUUCAGCAACAAUUUCAUCAUACAGACUAUUGCAAUUGUGGAUGUAAGGUGAUGAGAAAACACAUCCCACUAGAUGAUAACGAGAAUAAUUUAUGGAUCCCACACGAUUUCUUCAAGUUUAUCUUGAUUUGCCAUCACAAAAUUGCGCAAACAACUUGUGGUGUGAAUUCAAAAGCAAAUGCUUGCAAUAGAGUAGGAGGAUAAUGGGAAAACACUGAAAAUUGUUGAAGAUAUGUGAUCUGAUAUUAUGGAAAGAUUUGAUAAUAUAAAUAUUAGGAAAGAUUUGAUUAUAGUAUCAUAUAUUAAUUAGGUAUCAUAUGAUUAUAGUAUCAUAUAUUAAUUAGGUAAUAGUAUGAUUAUAGUAUCAUAUGAUUAUAGUAUCCACUUGUGUAUAUAUAUAUUUGUAUAUUGUGUAGUCCAAAGUAAAAUAGAAGAAAAGUAUUUUUUCUCUCCAUUUUUCUUAGUUUACAUGGUAUCAGAGCCCGUCUAGGGUUCUGGGAAAAAUACCACCUUUGCUUCUUGUCAAUUCCAGCCUUAAUUGCUGGUUCCUUUCUUAUUCUCUCCAGCCUUCAUUGCUGUUCCUGUUACUAUACAUUUUUUUCCCCCCCUCCUAUUCAAUCAUGGCGGAUGCUACAUCCUCAACGCGGCAAUUGUCUUCAACUAUGGAAGAAGAACAAAGUACACGGAACACAACAGAGCUUCAAAACAUCCAGGCAGCAUAUAGACUAAAUGGAAAAAAUUAUUUGAAGUGGUCUCAAUUGGUUCGAACAUUCCUGAAAGGAAAAGGAAAGUUGAGUCAUCUAUUGGAAAUAGCACCGGAUAGUGAAACGGCGGGGUUUGAAGCAUGGGAACAAGAGGAUUCAAUGAUCAUGUCUUGGUUAUGGAAUUCCAUGAUUCCUGAAAUCAGCGAUACAUGUAUGUUUCUUCCUACAGCAAAGGCAAUUUGGGAUGCCCUUCAUCAGACAUAUUCCAAGGUUAAUGAUGCAGCUCUUAUCUAUGACAUCAAGACAAAGACAACUGGAGCAAAACAAGGGACAAAAACAGUGACGGAGUAUGCCAAUUUUCUGCAAAACCAGUGGCAGGAACUGGAUUAUUACAGGGCACUUGAUUUGAACUGUAGCAAAUGUGCAGUGUUUAUCAAGAAGUUCAUAGAAAGGGAUCGAGUUUAUGAUUUUUUGGCUGGCCUAAACUCUGAAUUCGAUCUUGUACGAAUUCAAAUUCUGGGCAGGCCAGAGUUUCCUUCUUUAACAGAAGCAAUAUCCCAAGUACGUGGAGAAGAAAGUCGCAGGGGUAUUAUGUUAGAGCUACCUUCAAUAGAAAAUUCAGCCCUUUUAAGUUCCAAAUCUCAGCGGUUGGUACUGAACAAGGUUGCUGCGGACAAGACCAAUCAAAUAAGUGGGCAAAAGAAUCGCGAGGAGUUAUGGUGCACAUACUGCAAGAAACCACGACACACCAUAGAUCAAUGCUGGAAACUACAUGGGAAACCACCCACUCGUGAAUGGGGACAAAAAGGUGGCCAGCAAAGGCAGGCUCAUAUGUCGGUUCAAGAUCCAACUCAAGUGAUUGGAGGGUUUAGUAUGGAGGAAAUUGAGAAGCUUAAAAGUAUGUUAGAGACGGUUGACAACCCAGCAACUAACAAUUCUCAAUCAAGGAAUCCGGGUAUGUGUUCAUUGACACUUUCAGGUAAGGCUCUAGUCUCUUUUGCAUUUAGUGUUUUAGGCAAUGAGCUUAGGAAUGUCUGGAUUCUUGACUCUGGUGCUACGGACCAUAUGACUCAUAUUUCAAAUAAAUUCAAAACCUAUAAUCCCUGUCCUAGCAAUAGAAAGAUUGUUGUUGCAGAUGGUACUACAACCACUGUGGCAGGUAUCGGAGAUGUCCAAGUUACUCCAAAUUUGAUUCUUAAAAAUGUUCUUCAUGUUCCUCGAUUAUCUACAAAUUUGGUUUCUGUAAAAAAACUUGCCAAGGAUCUAGCUGGCUCUGUUAUAUUUGAUGAAUCCUAUUGUGACUUUCAGGACCGGGGUUCGGGGAAGAGGAUUGGACUAGCUAAGGAGCAUGAUGGACUCUAUUACUUGGAUACAUCAAGUCAACCCGAAUUUAGUAAAUCUGCCCUGUCCACAUUGUCUUCACCCUCCAAUAAAGAUGUCAUCUGGUUACAUCAUAGACGUCUAGGUCAUGUGUCUUUUUCUGCAUUAAAAAUAAUGUUUCCUUCCUUGUUCAAGGGAUUUGAUGUUCAGUCUUUUCAUUGUGAUAUUUGCGAGUAUGCUAAACACACUCGUGUCCCAUUUCCUAUCAGUAAUAAACGAUCGUCUUCUCCUUUCUUUUUAAUCCAUAGUGAUAUUUGGGGGCCAUCAACUAUUCCAAACAUCUCAGGGUCUAAGUGGUUUGUCACAUUUAUCGAUGACUGCACAAGAGUCUCUUGGAUCUAUUUACUCAAAAAUGAGUCUGAUUUGAGUUAUAUUUUCCCUGUUUUUCAUGCAAUGAUUCAAAAUCAAUUUGGCACCAAGAUAAAACACUUUCGUUCAGAUAAUGCUCGUGAUUAUUUCAAUCAAACCUUGAGUCAGUUUUUCCAAAAAGAAGGAAUCAUACAUGAAUCAUCCUGUAUUGCCACUCCACAACAAAAUGGAGUGGCAGAACGGAAAAACCGACAUCUUCUUGAGUGCACUAGAGCCUUACUGUUUGAACAAAGUGUGCCAAAAGCAUAUUGGGGAGAAGCUGUACUCACAUCAGCUUAUGUCAUAAAUAGAAUUCCUUCCAAGGUCUUGGGGUUUCAAAGUCCACUAGAGAACCUAUCCAAAUUUUACCCCGAUAUUCGAUCUUCCUUUAAUCUCACUCCUCGAGUUUUUGGAUGUACUUCCUUUGUUCAUGUCCAUAGUCAUAACCGUGGGAAGUUAGAUCCUCGUGCUCUUAAGUGUGUCUUCGUGGGGUACUCAUCUACUCAAAAGGGUUACAAAUGUUAUCAUCCACCUACUAGAAAACUCUAUGUCUCGGCAGAUGUUACAUUUGUUGAAAAUAAGCCCUAUUUCAUCACUCCUUAUCUUCAGGGGGAGUUAGAUACACUUGAAGAUAAGGAGUUAAAAUUUCCCUCCUUAGAGUUGACCACAUCUGAGUCAUCCAAAUCUGAAUUCCAAGAGUCAAUUCUUCAAUCUGAUGUGGUAGAAGAAAAAAAGGAAGACCGUAAAAUCUAUGACUGGUUCCGGUUUGACCAAGUGUAUACAAGGAAAGGAGAUCCCAUCGUGGUUACAAGGCAAGAACAAUCCUCUAAACCAAGCUCCGGGAAUGAGGUAACAAUGAGUGAAUCAAAUCUGAAUUCUACACCACCGACCGACCAUUCUUCCAGCUCUAAAUCACCUUGUCCUGAGCCUCUUAGCCCUGACCAGGACCUACAUCUACCUAUUGUUGUAAGGAAAAAACCCCGAGAAUGCACCAAAAGACCCCUAUAUCCAUUGUCUCACUUUGUGUCUUUUGAGAAGUUUUCCCCGAGCCAUCAAAGCUUCCUUUCCACCUUAAAUACAGUCUCUAUUCCUAGCUCAUUGUCUGAAGCAUUAUCAAAGAAAGAAUGGAGACUUGCUAUGGAAGUAGAAAUGGAUGCAUUAGAGAAGAAUGGGACCUGGGAAUUAGUUGAUUUACCAAAGAACAAGAAAGUAGUGGGUUGUAAAUGGGUGUAUGCAGUAAAGUUUAAAGCAGAUGGGUCCCUAGAACGCUACAAGGCAAGGUUAGUCGCGAAAGGAUACACACAGACAUAUGGAGUAGAUUAUCGGGAAACAUUUGCUCCAGUAGCAAAGAUGAAUACAGUGAGAAUUCUGCUAUCCUUGGCUGUUAAUUUUGAUUGGGAAUUACAGCAAUACGAUGUGAAGAAUGCUUUUCUUCAUGGAGAGUUGGAAGAGGAGAUUUAUAUGAGCAUUCCACCGGGAUUCAGUGGGGUUGACAAGAACAAGGUUUGUCGGUUAAAAAAGGCAUUAUAUGGGCUGAAACAAUCCCCACGUGCUUGGUUUGGACGAUUUGCCAAGGUAAUGAUAGCUAAUGGUUACAAGCAAAGUCAAGGAGAUCAUACCCUGUUCAUCAAGCAUUCAGCCUUGGGGGGAGUUACUGUUUUGAUUGUAUACGUAGAUGAUAUCAUAGUGACAGGAAACGAUGAAGUAGAGAAGAAAACUUUGAAGUGGUGCCUAGCCAAGGAAUUUGAAAUAAAGGAUUUAGGAAAAUUGAAGUAUUUUCUGGGAAUUGAAGUGGCUCGAUCAAGGCAGGGAAUUUUUAUUUCUCAACAGAAGUAUGUUAUGGACCUGCUCAAGGAAACAGGCAUGACAGCAAGCAAACCAGUUGGAACUCCCAUUGAGCAGAAUCACAAAUUAAGUGAGGCUCAUGGAGAUACAGCUGUGGACAGAGAGAUGUACCAAAGACUUGUUGGGAAACUCAUUUAUCUCGCACAUACUAGGCCAGAUAUAGCUUACUCAGUCAGUGUUAUUAGUCAGUUUAUGCAUGAUCCUAGAGCAGUUCAUCUACAAGCAGUUUAUCGAGUGCUUCAUUACUUAAAGGCACAUCCAGGGAAGGGAAUUUUAUUCAAAAAGGGUCCUGAAAUUGAUCUGGCAGUUUACACAGAUGCAGACUUUGCAGGGUCUCCAGUUGACAGGCGAUCAACUUCAGGAUAUUGUACAUUUCUUGGAGGAAACUUAAUAUCCUGGAGAAGCAAGAAACAAAGUGUGGUAGCAAGGUCAAGUGCUGAAGCAGAGUUCAGGGCUAUGGCAGCAGGGGUAUGUGAAUUAUUGUGGGUUAAAAUUAUCCUAGAAGACUUGAGGAUUCAAUGGAGCAAACCGAUGAAGCUAUAUUGUGAUAACAAAUCUGCUAUAAGUAUAGCUCACAACCCAGUGCAACAUGAUCGGACGAAGCACAUAGAGAUAGACAGGCACUUUAUUAAAGAGAAGCUAGAAAGUGGACUGAUUUGUACUCCAUAUGUUCCGACAGGACUUCAACUUGCAGAUGUGAUGACAAAGGGACUGUGUAGCAACAUGUUUCAUGAAAGUGUUGCCAAGCUGGGAAUGGAAGAUCUAUAUUCACCAGCUUGAGGGGGAGUGUUGAAGAUAUGUGAUCUGAUAUUAUGGAAAGAUUUGAUAAUAUAAAUAUUAGGAAAGAUUUGAUUAUAGUAUCAUAUAUUAAUUAGGUAUCAUAUGAUUAUAGUAUCAUAUAUUAAUUAGGUAAUAGUAUGAUUAUAGUAUCAUAUGAUUAUAGUAUCCACUUGUGUAUAUAUAUAUUUGUAUAUUGUGUAGUCCAAAGUAAAAUAGAAGAAAAGUAUUUUUUCUCUCCAUUUUUCUUAGUUUACAAAAAUCAUAGGAGUUUAGAAUUCUGACUAAUAUGAGAAAACUCAUACUUCAAAUUCAGUAUAUAUGAGAGAGAGAGACAGAGUCACAACAAAGUUUACGGAGAAAAAAAGGAAGAAACUGAAAAUUUAUAUUUCAAAAUUCAGUUUCAAAUGGCUGAGGAUCCAAAACUUACAUAGCAUGCACGAACUUAUGAUGGUAAGACCAGAAAAAGCAAUCAUCAUUAACACUCACCUAUCUCCAAUGCCUAAAAUGUAUGUGAUGACUGAAUAACCAGCACAACUUUUAAUGAAUGUUUCAAGACAUGUUGCAGUAAUCCCAAAUGGUCCAUCCUCAUCUGGAUGGAACUUUUGAAGGUAGCUUAUGAUACUACGGUGCUCUGAAAGAAUCUGAAACCAAGAAGGAACAAUAUUCAUAAAAUAAUGGAAUUGAUCAGUAACUCACAAAACAAAUAAGAGCGCAUAUAGAACCAAAGUGAUGCCCCUCAAAUUACCUGUAAACAUAUAAAAAGAUAACCAACUUACUCCUGAGGUUCAAAAACAUGAUAGGAUAACAGCUAGCCAGCAGCUAACUAGUUCACUGCCUAGUCAUUGAGGUUACAAUAGCAUCAACAGACUAGUUAAGGUAUUUAAAUGCAAACUAAAAGAAAUUCUAAGCCCAUGUAAUGCCUUUCUCAGAUUCUCAAAGUUACUCCGCACAACACAAGGAACAUUUGUCAUUAGCUGUCCCCACAACAUGAACUGAGUCACUGAGAAUUCCCAUAGAAAUCCACAAGGGAGUUGCAAUUGAUCCUCCAAAAACAUUAACAUGAAAUUCUUUGAAACAAAGAAGCCUGAAAAAUCGAGGUUCGUGCAGUCACCUAAAACUAGCAAAUAAAGGUGAGAGACAGUGCAAUGCAAGGGCAAUAGCAGGCUAAAAUAACCUUUUUUUUUGGGAGGAGGUCCCACAAUAAAAAAAAUUUACCACACAGAAUCAACACCAAUAUUAGGUACCUGUGCCAAAGAUUUGGAUGGUAUAAACUCCAUCAUGCCUUCAUCAUGUCCGGUUGCUAAAACUCUGUAUGGGGUCAAAUGCAGAUCAAGAUUCUCCAGCUUAAGCAGACGAUCCAUAAGUGUUACCAUUUGGAUGACCUGAACAAAGUACAGUUUAGUAUGCAACCAACAAACCAUUUGGCAAGCCCACAAGUUUUAUCACAAACCUAAAAGAAAACUUUUAUCAACUAAACUUAGCAAAAUUCAAAUCUGGUUGAAAAAAUAUUUAGCAUUUACCAACUGGUCUUGCCGAAGAUCAUCGCCUUUCUUAAACAUUAUCUUACAAAUCCCACCAUUUGUUGUUCGAAAAGCCAGACGCAAUGGGUGCAACGCACUUUUGAAUAUUGAUGAUUCUGAUGGUAUAAUCCCUGAAAUGAGGACUCCAGGAGCCAGUGGUGAUCGUAUUGGCUGAAAGUAUGAAACAUAACUAAUUUAAAACCAUAAUCAUCACAUGCAUGCUCAAGAAGGAAAAUGUUUGAGCAAGAAAGCCUAUGAAUUUCUGUCACAUGAUCACCUCAUCAAAGUACUGAUAGUAGAGAAAAAGUAGUUACCUCGUCAAAGUAGGUGAGCUCACUAAGAAGGCCGGAUAAAAGAUGUCUGAGUUUUUCAAUCUUCUUCUGUGUACCUCCACGGACAUUCCUAACAUCUCUCAUUAUGGAGCAUAAUUGGGCAGUCAAUUCUGUCUGGCGAACCAAGCUCUGCCACAACUUGAAACCAUCUUCAUCUCCAUUUGCAACUACUCCCAACUGCAACAACAAGUAGAGAGAAAUACCUUUAAAAACAGCCAUGGGCCUAGUCUUACAUACCGUGCAGAAAUCUUGCACAACAGUAAAUGUUCCCCCCACACCAGACAUUCAAGUAGAUGCAAACACAUUAAUAUUUUUCUAGUUGGUAGAAGAAACUGAGUACGACCUCUAUAAUCAAAUUAGCUUUCACAAUAAUUCUAGAAGUUCCCAAUUUUUGGAGAGUAAUUGGAGAAAUGUAAUCUCACAGUUUUGAAAGCUGAAACAAGUAUAAAAAUCGUUUAUUCAUAAUGAAACAUAAUAUUAGGAUAUUUAAAAGUAUGGGAUAGAAAGAUAAACAAAAGAACUGAGUCUACUGAUUCUGUGAUGAUAAUCCACAAAUCACCUUGAGCAUACUUUCUUCCAAAAUCUCAUAGGUACAAUAGAAACGUUUUGCAUAUGCAGGAUCAUGAAGUUCCACAGCAACAUACCAGCGGAGGAAGCUAGCCAGCUCAAUAUUGCGCAAUGCUGCCGAAACAAGCAACGUUAGUUUCAGAUACAUUUACAAGUAAGCCGCAAUAUAGAUUACAUUUGUUUAUUGAAGAUUCUCAUGUAUAUUACAGCAAGCGUACACCGUUGCACAAGGAAAUGGGAUAAGCGAGAUUUAUCAGAACGCUCAAACCGAAGAGCUUGAACCAAUUGAAGCAGGUAGCACUGGAGCUCAUCAUCAUCGGCUCUUUUAAGUACACUGACAGCAUAUGCACGGACCUGUUGGAUAAUGACAAUGAAGCACCCUAAGACUAAGCAAAUCUGUUUGCAACCAUAAUGCACAAAAGCAAUUUCGAUUUUUCAUGCCAAUCAACUUAUGAACAGUCAUUUUUUAAGGAGCAAUGGACCUUACUAUGGGCUAUUGCAAUUCCAGAACUCGCAUAGUUAGGACUCUAGGAAGUAAAUACUUCCUAAAAAAGGUUAAACACCAGAACUCACAUAGUUAGGACUCUAGGAAGUAUUUACUUCCUAAAAAAGGUUAAACACCAGAACUCACAUGGUUAGGACUCUAGGAAGUAAAUACUUACUAAAAAAGGUUACACACAAAUUUAACAGUGUAGAGUAUCUUUCAGGAAUGGACCUAGACACCCACACACACAUGCAAGCAUGCAUCUAGCACUCACCUCUUCACUUUCGAACACAGGAGACAGAAGCUCCAAUGCAUCACAGACAUCAAUUGGUUCCCACUUUCCCAUCAGUUCCAAUGCCUGCUUUGCUUCCUGCCAAAACAAAAGUAUAAAUCAUCACAAGACUUUCUACACGAAAUGCAUGUAUUGUCUUAAGCAUGUGUCACAAAAAGGGGUAAAGCAUACAAGCAAACCAUGAACAAGGAUCAGGAAUUAACCCUUAAACACCAUCUACAAGAAAAAAAGGGAAAAAAAGCUAAAGAGAAAUAGAGAGCAAGAAGGAUAUAGCAAAUAAAUAAGUAUGGAUGUAGGAAGUACAAACAUGAAACAGAAGGGGGAAGUUAAAUUUUAUACACAACAACAAUCAGGUUUGCAACUCAAUGACAUCCAUCCAUAGCAACAGACACCAGAAGUUCAAUAGCUAAUUAUCCAAAAUGUUAUGGUCCAGGUCCAUAAAACUUACUCACUGGAUGUAUAUUCAAUGACUAUAAACAUCCACAUCCCUUCCCGCAUGCAGGAAGUUGCUUUCUCAGGUUCAAUGGGAUUUAUAGGUGGCAGGGCAAAAGAAAUUACACCAAACAAAGAAUCAAUAAUUAUUUGUGAUACAACAUUUCACUAAAUUGAGACAACCAAAGUAGGAUGGGAAGAUAGGAAGAAUGCAGAUGUACCUGUACAUCACUCCACUCAACACACCGCAGAAAUUUUGUAAGAGCUCUCUUCUCGGACAUCAACGAAAAACGAAAUUUCCAAAGGAGCUGCCUUUCAUCUCCACUCAAAGUCCUUGUUGGAGGGUACUUUAAUAUUCUUUGUAUCGACCUAACAAACCACGCAACAGCUUGCAGAUCAACAUCAAUAAAAUGACAUGAAACAGAAACAGCAUAACACGGUAAAACAUAAAUAGUUUGUUUGGAUAGGAGAAUGAAUCUAUGUAAAGGACGAGAAAAACUAUCACAAUGUAUCAACAGGAUGGUACAAGGUUGUAAUAAAUAAAUUGCAAAAACUAAUGCUUUCACAAUUUUACUCCUACAAUUUGGGAGUGAGUGUGCACUUGCAUAAUAUGUUUCUGCAACACACGAUUGUGCAUGCGCAAGCGCGUGUGAGUGAGAGAGAGAGAGAGAGAUAUCAUCACAAUUAUCCAAUGACAUGAAAAACUGCAAGUACUCAAGGUAAUGUUGGCACUUCAUAAAGUACGCACUUCCUCUCUGUAAUGCUUGGUUUUAGAUCCCUAUCAAUGAUGCCGCGGUUUAGACUCCUUGCAAGCUUUAGUUGCUUGUGCUCAGAAGGAUUAAUCUUCCCCACUUCCGGAUCCCAUACAGUAACCAGUUCAUUUGUUGAAGCUAUAGGAGAUGGUAUCAAGAAAUUUGCCCCUGAUUCCUACUCAUCAAGGGAACAAGAAUUACAUUGUAAGUAAAAGGCCAGGAAAAUAAAAGACAAAUCCCAGACAUUGAAUGGGUGUGAAGUGUCUCUCAUAUAAUUAAAUGCUAGAAACUAAAAACAAGUAUAAUAAAGAUAUAAAGAUAUAUCAGGUGAAAUAUUUUCCAAUUCCUUUAGUAAAGGAAAGCUUCUUAUUCACAAAAAGCAGUAAAAUAGAAAGCAUUGGCCUUUCCCAUAUGCACAUUAGAUUGCCAAAAGGGAAAUAAGCAGAAUAGAUCCAAUUACUACGUCUUUCACAACAACUUCACAGCCAACAAUAGUUUUUCAGGUCCCUGAACAAAACCACUUGUCAACCAAACCUAUUUUCUGCAUAAUGAUGAUACAAACCAACUCCUUUCUAAAAUCUAUCCUAAAUUCCCGGAAAUUCCUCUAAUUGUUCCCAUGGCUUGGAGCCAUCAUUUUUUAUUCUAGAAGGAUAACAAGUUCCAAUAAUUUGGGAUCUCCUUUGCCAAAAUUUUCAUUUAUUUGCUUCCCAUCUCAGUUUUACACAUUAUCCUCUUGUCUACUCAACCCUAUCGGGAAAAGUUUGUUCGGAUUAUAGUAUCAGUUUUCAAAUUUUUCUUUUUUUGCCCUGGGUAACAAAAAUAGGAAUUGUUUACAGGAAGCAGUCAAAGAACAAUGGAGCUCAGGAAGGAGAAUACGAAAUUAAGCUAUUCAAACUCAGGAAGGAUUCACUCAAACUCAAGAGUAAAAAGAAUGCACUGCUGCAAACUUGAAAACAGCUACCUGAAAGACAACUCGAUGUUCGAAACUACAAAAAUCAAUGACCAAAUAUACAUGAGAACUUCCAUUUUUACUGUUCUCUCGCUCCUUAAUUUUCUCCAUAGCUGGAAAUGCAAGCCGGUCCAGCCAAUCAACCCGUUGAAUUUGUCCCCUCUCAUACUUAUUUACAAGCUUUUCCAAUCGCUCCAACUCUCCACGUUCCUCCUUCGGAACCUAGCAGAAGACAAGCUGUGUGAGCAAAUAAAAGAGUCUCAAAAUAUUUAAUAAUGACAAGGUAAAACCUUGGGAAGGGGAAAAAAAGCUAUUAUUCACUAGUAAAUGAAGAAUAAAAACCUUUCCAGGAGUACUUGUAUGGACAGAUCCAUCUGCUUCCUUUCCGAGCCACAGCCUGAGCUUAUGCUUCCCUGUCUUUAGUUGUUUUUUCAUGUUAAAUAGAUGUAUGGUAGCCCCACCAAUCACUCCUUCACUCUUGCCACGUGAAACAUCCCAAACCUGAUUUGUAAGGAUAUUACCAACAAGAGAAGAGUCAGGUAGAUAAAAUUGCCGUGCAAAUAUAUAACACUAGUGAUCAAAUCUUUUGCCAUAAUGGGUCAAAGAAAUUAGCUUUCAAAAAACAAAAAAGCUCUCCAACAUCUAAUUAGUUAAAGCACCUUCCUCUCACUUGGUGCAGUCCUAAACUAGACAUCUCAUUUCCACAGAACUACCAAUGGUCAUGAUUCCAACAUUGAUCCUCGUCUUUCAAAAUUUGAGAUGAUCAUCACAAGGCAAAGCCUUUUCUAAUUAUUUGUCCUUUUCUUUUUCUACUGAGCUAAUGAAGCAGGUAAAUGUGAAAAUUUGUCAGCAAAGCAAAAGAUUAUGAUUAAGGUAUAUCUCAAAUGCAAAAAGGCGUUGCAGACUCACAGUGAAUGCAAGUUGUGAAUUAGCAGUCAAGUCCCGAUAUUUCGUGCUCAAUGUUAUAAGCUCAUUCCAGCAAUACGAUGGGCCUUUUGUUUCCAGUCUGACAAUCAAAGAUUUUUCAUUACUAACAGAACAAAAGGACCUACCAAACUCCAGAGAAUUGAAAUCUACAGAAAAAAAGGAAAAAGAAAAUGCACGCACGCACACACUCUCUGGAUAUGAAAUGUGAUUGAGAAUGACCUAGUUCUCAUGGGAAGUCCGAAUGGAGCUCCAUCAAGAUACAAUGUACACUCAACAUACAGCUCAGGCCUUCCUUCCUCUAAAGUUGAAUCAACAUCAGCUGUUGAAUUAGAAAAUGAAAAAAAAAAGAGAGAGAGAGAGCAUAAGUAUAUGCAGAUAAGCAGCUCCAAAUAUUGAGCUGUAUAUAUGCAUAUAGACAUAUUACUAAUUUGUGUUUUAUGUUCACCAAUUUCGAGAAUAAAACCCUAUUUGAUAGGUAGGAAAAAGAAUCAACUUUAGCAGUACCAGCAUGAGCAGGUGAAAUUAAUUUACCUGAAUCGGGGUUUCUGGAAGAGGGCAAUUUCCCUUCCAACCGUUCGAUUCGAAAAGUGACGGGAAGAUUGAUGUCGCAUGAUAAGAAGAAGCGAAAUUCGUUCCCGCUCAUUGUCUCUUCAUAGUAAUUCCCAGUUUAAGAAAAGUUACGCUUUUCUUUUUUCUCGUUUUUAACUUUGCUAUUUGUUUUGGCGACGGAGGACUUAAUCCAGAACUAGUUACAGAAGAAUCUGAAGAAUUGGAAUCGCAAUUCUGCAAAGAGUUUGAUAUUGCUUGGCAAUUUGGGACAACCGUCCCAAAUACAGCAUUCAAGAAGAAGUGAGCAAGUUUUCGUGAAGAAAACAACUAGGCAGCCCGGGACUGAUGCUGGAGUAGACGGGUUGAGAAGAAAGUUACUUAAGCAAGUUUCGUAGUCCAAAAUCCUAUCGUUUCGACAAAAUAUAAAAAAAAAAAAAAAGUUUGGUAGUCCGACCAGUUUAUAAGAUGGCGUGAUUCGAGAACUUGAAAUAUGCAACGCUUUCUCUACCCGUGAUAAACGACUUCGUGAUAUGCAGAUAAGAUGCCGUACCAUAGUAUAGGUGAUUGAAUCACGAUGACGUUUUGGUACCAAGGAAAAUUUCCAGUGUGACCCUUAAAAAGUCUACAUAUUGUUUGUGAGGCCUCCACAAGCUUGAAAUAAUGGCACUACCACAUCUUUCUGUUGUCCUAUAAAUUUGAUAGCCAGUCACAAUCUGCAGAAUAACUUGUGAUUUUCUUGGAGCCAAUAAUUUACACACACACACACACACAAACUUUGGCUUGAUAUAACGUUAAUUUGGCAAAAUCAUCUUAAAAUUGAAUAGAAUGAUGCAAAGUUCAUGGAUAACAUUAGAAUCAGUACGUACAAGAAUAGCCCCUUUCAUACUUCCGUGUGCUCUGUUAAGCACAAGGUCAAAAGAACAUAUAAGAAUUUUCAGCUCAAGGACCUAACAAGAAUCUUCAAUUUGUGAUGAGACUAAAUUAAAGUGUACAACACAAAGAAUGAGAAAGAGAGGAAAAAAACAUGUAAGGAUGCUAAGGUAGGCGUGGAAAUUUUGAAAAAUUUGGUGGUCUGUGUUGCAAGUAGGCAUUCUUCCCCUCGUUACCUUCCUCAGUUCCGUAAAAUAUCAGGGUUGCAUUUCCUCCAAGCUCCUGCAUCGCAGAUACAAGUUGUAAAUCAGAAAACAUUGAUUCAGUGAAGCAUUGGCCUGUCUUUAUUCUGUAGACCUGUGAAAGGGAAUUUCGAGCAUAUGACAGCAAAGAAUGGGAAGAAAAAGAAGACAUGGAGGAGCAUGCAGAUCAUCCUGGAAUCAGUCUCAGUUUUACUGAUUACAGUCAAAAAGUUUUGAGGCCAUGCGAGAUGCUGAGCUUGUCUUGUAGUACCAAAAUUCAAAUUUGAGUCAUACCUGAAGUCCAGCAUGCCCAUCAUCAACUGCAUUUAGAGCUGCUUUGAGCACUCGAAUUGCGGUGGGGCUAUUCCUUAGGAUCUCUCUACACCACUUAACUGUUUCUUCUUCCAAUUUCUCUAGCUGGAGAAUAGAAUUAGUCAAAUUUUUAGAUAAUUGAGAACGUGCAGAUCAACAUUACAAUGCAACAGGUAUGAAUAAUUAUGUGGAAAGAGUGGUUUACUUGUUACCAAAAUGCAUAGUGUUCAGAAGCAAUGGAAAUUGGGCAUGGUAUUCUACAGAUAUUCCUAAUUUCUUCUUUUUCUUUUUAUUUUUUUUCCACGUUGCUGAAGAGAGGAUGAGUGCGAUAUUUAGCCAUCAAUCAACUUACUGGGACAACAGUAUUUACGAGUCCCAUUUUCUCUGCUUCAGAAGCUGUGUAGAACCUAGUCAGAAACCACAUUUCCCGUGCUUUCUUUGGCCCAACCUAACAGAGAAAAUGAGUAAACAGAAUUAUUGACGGAUAAGUACAAAUGUUAUCUGGGCAAAAAACAUAUCCUUGUAUUGAACAUGCCCAUCAGAGUUUUCAAAAACUGAACAAGCUGACCAGUUUGAGUUAACAAAAAUGAAGCUUAAUGGCUACUAUGUUUUCACAAGUUUAUGAAAACCAAUGCAAUGAUAAGAGGAUUGUCCAGCUCCAAAACUCACCAAUCUGGACAUUAUCGAACUUCCAUAGCCAGCAUCAAAGCUUCCCACCUGCAAUUUGCAUAACUCGAUCAGGUUUCUGACCCUAGUACUUCCGUAUGCCAUAGACACUUAAGUUAAGCAACAAAUGGAGAACUGAAGAAGCAGAAUUUAGAUAUAUGCAUCAAAUGGUCACAUCUGCAGAUAUAGCAAUGCGAAUUUCUAGCUUCUUUGCAGUUCCUAUUGACAAGACAUGGAAAUGCUUGAUUUUGCCUUUUGCAAAUCUUAUGAAAAACCAGUUUUGCAUGCCAAAAAUCAGCCGUAUAUAAGUCUAACAUUCUGCCAAUUGGUCUCUCAACUCUAUUAUUGGUUUUAAAACUAGUUUUGUCCAACCACGUGCAGAUAUCUAAAUAUAACAAUUCUUGUGAGCUUGCUGGGAGAAAUCAGCAAUUAAGUUACAGUCUACUUCAGCUUAUGGACAGUAUACAAUUCUCUUAUAUGCCAACAUAAGACAGCAAUAUUGAUAAAGCACCUUAGGACCUGUCUGACCAAAAAUAGCAUUUUCUGCAGCAAUUGUUAGAUCACAGACCAUAUGCAGCACAUGUCCUCCCCCAACGGCAUAACCUGCAACCUUGUUUCAAGGAGAAGAUCAUACAUAUAGAAAUCAUUGAAAGAAAUGUAACAGUAAAAUCUGAUUUUAAAAAGGCCGCCCAAUUGACAAAGUAAAGCCUACCAUAGCAAUUACUGGUUUUGGUAGACGACGAAUUUGCACCUGCAGAAAAGUAGGAAGAAACUAUGAUGAAUAGAAAGCAGUGACCAUAUACAAGAUAUCAUUACUACAAGUUUCUCAUAAAGGAUUUCUCUUCUGGUGUUUUGGGCUUAACAUCAUUAGAUUGAGAGAACCAAAAGCAAGCGAUUGUAUGCAAUCAAAAUGUAGAUUUUCAUUGAAUUCUAGUACUUGCCUGCAAAUCUAAAACAUUGAGGCGACCAAAACUUUCCUUAUCAGCAUAGCCAUCUUUGCUUCUCAUUGAUUGGUCACCUCCACUGCAAAAUGCCUUGGUACCCUGCUUAUAAGUAUGUAAAACUUAUUAACCUCUUGAAUUGUUAGCCUGUGAGACCUAAAAAGAGAGGAGGCACUUAACUGUCACUGCAUUAAACUGAAACUACUAAAAUGGAACCUCCCAUCCCCCUCCUCACCCUUUCCCAACAUUUACUUUCUAUGUUACCAGGGGAAAAACUCUAGAAAAGACUGCAAAAUGAGCAAUCAUCAACUGCUCUUUUUGCAUGGUUGAUUAUGUAAUACCCUGUUCAAAUAUAUGUGGAUAAGUAUCCGCCAACCUAUCAGAGGAUUUCCUCCUAUAAUUUUGUUAGUUACAACACAAAAUUCGACUGCACCAUAAAUUUGUUGAUGAAGUUUGUCUCUUAAGUAUGUCAUAUCUAUGAUCAUGUAUCAACGGGCACUGAGAAGGUACUAAGAAAAGGUUGGCAAAUUGAUGAAUAAACUAUACUCUAAUACCAUAUUUCAGUCUAUGCUACCUUCUUGAACUUGUACAUUCAUGCGAUGUAACUUCCAACUAUUUAAGAAACCUAUGACAUAGUUUAUGGAAAUCUCAAACAUGCUUGCAAGAAAGUUACCUUUCCUGUGAGAAUUAUGACCCCCACAGAUCCAUCAUCCCUGGCAUCAUUAAAUGCACGAAUAAGUUCCUUAAUUGUGUGUGGUCCAAAGGCAUUUCUUUUCUCUGGCCUGUUAAUUGUUAUCUACAACUCACAAUUGAAAGAACAGAUCAAAGGCAGCUAUUCAGCAUAAAUGAUAUACAUAUGCAAUGAUUUGGCAAGAGAAGCAAUAGCACCUGAAACCAACCAAAAUAUUAGCUCUCAACUAGGAAUAGAACCUUUUUAUGCAGAAAACGAAGGUGAAAUAUAGUUCAGUGGAUAAGGGCCUGUCUUCCUAAUCUCGGAAAGAGGGUUGGAUUUGUCCCGCAUUCGCUUCCAUAAAACUUAAAGAAUUACCACAAAUUAAGGUUCUAUAAAGGUGAACAUUUUCUUUAGUUCAAUGUGGUUCUAUAACUCCUUCCCUUCUUCCCUUUGGAACAAGAACAUAAUUGAUACUCUACACCACUCUCUUAGUAAAAUGUUUCCACAAACAGCACGUAAUUUUCUGAGGAUUAUGACGAACUGAAACACUAUAGCAUGCAAUUCCGUGUGAAUUAUUUUCCCUAAUUGUUAAUAGUACAAAUGCAGCAACUUGAUGAUGAUUUUUUGAACAGACCUUGGCAAUGCCUUCUCCAACAGCUUUUUCAUAAAUAAUGUCAGUAAACUCCUUGCCAGACUCAUCACUAGCAAUGAGUCUCCAAAUUGGCUCAUGAGUAGGGACUUCCCCAUGCUUUUUGUGGUAGCUGUCGUCCAUAGAAGAGCUGCAGCUUGAGAACCCAAUUGCACCAUCAUGACUAGGAUUGAAAUGGGACGCCGGCAUGAGAUGGCUAGCUACAGAGGCCACUCUUCUUCUCAUAGUUUCAACAUCCUUCCCAGCCAUGCCUGCCAUUCUUGCAGCUGGCUUGGAAAAAAUCAGAGGCAAUUAAUUUCUUGAAUAUGAUGUUUUAUGAAAAGUGUAAAUGAAGAGGAAGUGGAAUGGGACUUGAUGAUAGCUAGGCGGGAGUAGAGUUUUGUGUGGUGAAGAGGUUGACGAUGACAGACAUGUUUGCAUUAACGUUAUCUGAGUUGAUAGGAGAAUUUGAUUGGAUCAUCGGAUAACGGAUGGGGAUUUUGCGGUUCGGGUUGGGUAUGCAAUGUGAACUCAGGGAACUGAAAAGCCCGUGAGAUUGACCCGUAUUGGGUCUGUUAUGGAGGGUUGGUCCUCUUCCAACCAUAGGCCCAUUUGUCUAAUGGUUUCUUGGGUUUCCACGAGCCCAUCUUUCAAACAAAUUUGUCGGCCAUUGCAUAAAAUACGUAUUUAAUGAGAAAAAGUUAAAAAAAAAAAAAAAAAAAAAACAGAGGGGAGCACUAGCAGAGAAAAACAACCUGACGGUGACGAACUUUGACUGAAAAGAAUUCCAGUCUUCUAGUUCACCCCCAGUUACCGGGUCGCCAAGAACAGGAAGAAUGGCACAAGCCUGAGAAGCAAAUGGAAGCCUUGGAAAGCAGAAUGUUUUCUGAAGAAAACGGCUUCUCUACAGUUUCUGGUAAUUUCUUAUCUCCGUGAACAUCUGAAACUGGAAUAUAAUAACUUGAAUACAUAUGGGCAGCUAAUGGCCUAACACAUUUAGUGAAUUGAUCUCACUGAAGUGAAAUUCAUGAAUUUCAUACCUUGUUCUUCUAAAAAUUUUAGUUUUUCUGCGUGUGAAUUCUUUAGAGAUUGAUCUAUUUGAAUUGCAAGUAUAUUGGGAUAUAUCUUCACUGCAUUUGUUACGUGUAUAAACGCAAUUGCCUGUAAGAGUUAGGAAAUGGUUAAGCUUUGCUUGUCAGCAGGUUGCUAUCAUAGUAAUCAGACCAUAAUUGGCUCUUUAUGCAAUAUUUUUAUACAUUUGCCAGUUUCAACUUUUGGUAUGUGGGAUUAGGAAGUUUGUAUGAUGUAUUUAACUUUCAAAAUGUACCACUUACUGUUAUUCCAUUUGUAGUCAAUACAGCUUCUUGAUAAAAGGUUAACAAGCAUCUACCCUGAAGCUCAUGGAAGAGUCUGGUCCCCGCAGAAUCCAGUUCAUAAAUUAAGAAAAACUUUGCAUGUAUUCGAAAAAAUUAACAUUGUAAUGUCAAAGUCUUCUAUUUCUUGUGCUUGAAUCACUUUGGAAGGGCAGAUUCUAGCAUGGAGGAUUACAAAGAUGGGUUAUUCAUCGGGGCCUGCCCGGACCUUUAAGAGGAGUCAUCAGAUGUAAUAGAGAUGGCUGUUCACUUCUCUGCAUAAUUGAGAGCACUAUUUACACUUUCUAGUUUAGACUUAUUUUGCUAUCUCGACUUAGGAUGACCUUGUUACACCAUCUCCUUGCAUAACUAGUUACUCAUUCAUUCAGAUCUCUGGGGAAAGGAUUAUAUGGUGUGUAAUGGGCACCUCUUAGUGUAGGAAGGAUCCGAUGCAAACGGAUCACUGGGUUAGAAGGCAUAUUUGGGUGCCUAUACGGGGUUCUUCUGUCACCAUAGUGAACAUUUCUCCAUUUCUUAUGAUAGGUUGAAUCAAGGUAUAUUUGUAUGCUAAAAACAAACUCAAACUUUCUACAAGUAGUUGAAUGUUGUUUACUGCUUUACCCUUAUUGUUUAAAACCUAUUGCGAGUUAUUAUUGUUGCUCCAAGUUUAGGGACAGCUAUGUUUUUCUUGGAAUAAAACUCCUUUUUGACUUGUUCAAGGGAACAAAAUCACCUCACAACAUUUUUUUUUCUGAGAAAACUAUAGCUGCACUACUAUGGAUCCAAUGUCUCAACUUUUUGAGGGUACUUAAUUACAUUUAUUGGAUGGCUUUAUAUUUGAGUAAUACUUGAAGAGAUACUUGAAUACAUAUAAACUGGUUGUUCUCUGAUACUUUUGUGAGUGAGAGUAUGCAUAAUCUACAUGGAGGUUAUUGAAAAUUUAUGUCUUUCUGGAUAAGGUAGUUUAAUGACUUUCAGUAUCCAAGUGUUUGUCCCUGAUCCAUGUUGGUGCUUUAAAAAUUUUUGCCUCCUUUUUUUUAUGGAUUAAUCUUUCCUACACUGACAGUGCAUACACUGUCAGCGUUGGAUGAAUGACAACCAUGCAAAAUUUGAAUUUGAAAUUCAACUUUUGCAGACAUGUCAUGAAUCCAACGAUGAUAGUGUAUACACUGUCAGUGUAUAUAAGAUUUACUCAUUUUUUAUUCAACACUGUCAUGCUUGAAGAGGAUUCUAAAAGGUUUUCUAAUGAUAAUAACAGCUUUCAGCUUAGCUCUAAGGCACUAGCAGAUCUUUUGGAAUCUUCUUGCAGCAGUUGCCAAAAACACUGGCAUUGACGGGUUCAUACUCCUUUCGAAGAAGGACGCUGCAGAGCUGUCAAAGUAGAAUCUGGUAAAAGCAACUUGAUGGGUUCAAUGGGAUUAUGCAGUCAAAUGUGCACUGCCCAUAUGGACAGGAUGGAAUAUUAGCAUACAAUCUUGCUACUUUCUCUUUGCUUGCUAUUUGGAUUGUCUCGUAACUACUGGAGUCCUUGCAGGUACACUUGUUCCAGGCAUUCCCCAUCCCCCCUGCAACUUUCUCUCCAAAUUGUUUCCAUUAAUUAAUUUUAGUUGCUGGAUACUCUUUCCAUGACUGUGAUCUUGAAAUAUGUUUUACCAUUCCAAUGAAUUUGAUUGAGCAGGAUAUGAGUAUUGGUUUUUACAUGUUGGUUAUCCAUGCAUCCUUGUAUGUUGUUAAGAACUGAAGAUUUCAGGUGCUAUACUUUUUUGUUCCUUUUUUCUGUAGCCACUUGUAUAGAUUUAAAACUGCACUAUGCAUAGCAGAUACAUUAUCAAGCUGUAGGUCAAACUGACCUGCUGACAUAUUUAACAUAGUAGACAAAGCUUCAAUAUUUUUUACUAUCACACUCUAAGCUACUAAAUUGUUGUAUAUCGAACCAAUGAAGCUCAUAAUAUCCUGGUAAAUACUAAUAAUAUCGGUAUAGUAUGUAUUCUAACAUAUGGACUAAUUUCUACUGAUGGUGUGAAAGGGUCGGAAGAAAGAGGCCGACCACUCAAAUAAAUGCAACCAAUAUACAAUAUCUAACAUGAAUCAUGAUCUGCUUGAAUCCUGUUGCCUGGUGGCUUACCGAUCUGUAAGCACUCAAUUGGAGGUUCAGUAGGAGAAUACAGCUCCCCAAAUGUCUGCCAACAGUAGGGGUCAUACAUAUGGUAGCGUUCUUGCAGCGGUUUUAGUUCAAUAUCAUUUAGAGUUACUUGCGUGCAGGGAACGUUGUCACUGCAUGCCAAAUGCACUGGUUUUACUGUGUAUGUUCCUCUUAUGUUCUCGUAGUGGAUUCCUGAUAGAGCCACAGCCGAUGAUUGAUUCUUGCAUGUAGUCUUGUCACAGUAGAAUUGAUCAAUUACAAUAGGAAGUUGGACCUCGGACACUAUAAUGUUUGAAAACAGAACUCCUUGCACUGAACCUGAUCCUCCCUGUACAAGUAAUAUCCAAGUUAGAGAAAUCUUCUAUCAGAUUAGGGGUAUUUAUAGAAAUAUUGCCUUUAUUAUCAGAAGUGGAAAAAACAUCGUUGAUUCAAAAAAAGUUCAAAAAGGACAGAAGUCAACUUCAAUUGUCCUCAGAUUCUUUCCCAGAAUUUUGAAAUUUCUACUGAACCAGACAAAUUUGGGAGGGUAGCCAUACCUGCCACGUCUUUAUUCUGACACCAUUCAUGGUCUGAUGCAUAAUGAUAUCUCGGAUUGUGAUGUUCGAAACACAAGCUCUGGUCUCAUCUUUUCCUAGGCCUCCAAUACUGAUUCCAUGUCCUGGCCCACAGUUUAUGUUAUGAAUGUACACGUUUGUGCAUCCAGUUUGUAUUGAUACACAGUCAUCUCCUGCAAAGACAAUCCUCUUGUUAGAAGUUUUCUAAGGCUUGGUUAUUAGGUUUUAUGUCUUAAGACUGGCCUGUGCAAAGAAUUCUAUUUUAUUUCAUGUUAUCUGUUAGAGUUGCCCUUGUUUAGGUUUAGAGCUUCCUUAUCUACUAGUAGAAUCAUAAACAGAAGUGCUAUUUUGUGAACAUGACAGCGAGUAGAAAUGAGGAAAACAUGUGGUAAGGGAAUGUUAUUUUCUCUUUGUGGGGCUGACCAACAAAUCCUGUGAAGGAUCUCUCUUUUAACACUCAGGCUGUGACAAGUGUUGUUGUGCCUCGGACAGAAAACCGGUGGUCAACUAGGUGCAAGUAAUAGAUGUAUAUGCUUCCAGGUGGCAAAUGUAAAGGUUGGAAUUUACAAGUUGUCUUACUGGAUAAGGUGCAGAACUAUUUUAGAUAAUUGGCAAAUGCUGAAUCUACACAAUUAAAUCAAUUGACUAAAGAUUCUAUUUUGUUUGUUAAUCUAAUGAAUUGUUAGAAAAAAAACUUGACCAUGCAUUACCGCAAGCAACGUUGGUACUACGGAUAAGCACAUCUCUUGAAUUCUGUAAGUGAAUUCCGUCUGUGUUGGGACUGUCUCCAGGAGAUGAAACACUGAAGUUAUACACUGAAACUCCAAUGCAAGUAUCAAACUUGAGGUGGCACUGAGGACUGUUUUGAAUUGUUAUGCCUGUGACGGACACAUUAAAGCUUCCAUAAAACCUUAGUGCCUGCAGUAAGAAAGUGUGAUUUGUAAAGGUUGAAGGGUCAGGAAGUUCGAGGCUGAAGUCCUGAUUGUUGUAGUUGCUCUUACCGUUGGUUUUAUGCUCGGCAUUUUUCCACCUAGAGAGCCCUGGAUCUGGUGCAAAGAAUUUGUGCUUAAAAUCAGAUACAAAAUAAACCUGAUGCAGAUAGCAGGGAGAAGGAAGAGCGAUAAUUACAGGAAUUGAUGGAUUUCUUCCUACUGUUCCGUUCAACGGGACAAUUAGUUUUGAUUCGCUGUCUACAGGAUGUUGAAGUGGGGAAUCUUGCCACCAUGCUGCACCUCUUCCAUCAAUUGUGCCACUUCCCUGAAUUGUAAUUCCCACCAGCUUUGUAAACUGAAGCCACUGUAAAGUACCUGAGCCCCAGGCACGAGUGUUUGUUGGUGCAAUUAUUGUGCCAUCUAACUGCAAAAGAUUUGAUGGCUUAGUUAUGGGUAAUCUGUAAUAUGAGUUGCUACAGAAAUGUCUAAUGGAAGGAAGGGGGAGGCGGGUCUUCAACCUAGGUAGAGAACCUGAUUGACCACACAAGACCACCCUGGGGUGGAAUAUUUUACAAUGCAAUGCUGGAGGCAGAAAUAUGUCAUUGGUUUUUUUCAUCCAAAGUUUCUGAAAUCAUGUUUCUUGGUGAUUGAAGCUUCGGAUUGUCAUACAGAUCAAAUUUACUGUAAUCAUGAGCAUUGGGCAUUUAGGUGUCGGUGGCAAGGAGGGGGGGGCUGAAUCAAUUGUGAAUCAAAACAUUUCAGUAUGUUGAGAAGUGACUAAAAUUUUCUUCAUUUCUCUGCAGAUGUUUGUAGGAAGAAUUUACCUGGAAUACAAUGUCAUGCUGACAAUAAGGGCCAGAGAACGAAAUUGGGCCCACAAGGAAUACAGAAUCUGAUGGGACAACAAUCGUUGAUGCCUCAACUUUACAAGCGGCUGCCCAUGCUGCUUGGAACGCCUGUAACAUAAAAUAUUAUUCCACAAGAAACUCAUCAGUGUUUGUUGUUUUCAAUUUGUUAAUAGCCUCCACGAUUCAGGUUAGAAUUAACUGUAAAAAUUCUUCCUUCUCUAUAGCUCCUCGUCUGUCUUUCUUUUUCUAAUUUUUAUACAAAAGAAUUUAGGCGAGAUUAUAUGGGCAUACAUGAAUUUUUUAAGUUAAUUAGUUGUUGGUUUAGUGGAGAAGCAUAUGCAAUCAUUCUUAGUAUCUCCGGUGCAAACUGCCAUAACGAGAAUCACUCACAUGCGUGGUCCCUCCAUGAUUUUGUUUGCGAGUGUCUGGCCGUCCUUUUUGCGGUUACUUUUUGCCACUAUAUAAUUCUGUGCAGCUUAGAAUAUGUCACAGUUACCUACCUUUUUGUCCUCGCCGUAGCGAUCGAACUUGUUUAUGAUGAAAGUUGACCACAGAAUCAAGGGGAUAAUAUAAUACCCUCUCCGAUAGGGCUUUCUGAACUGGCUGGCUGGCUACCAUGGCAUGGAUGGGUCACACUACUUUCUCUCGUCUUGUGAAUAUGUUAUUAUUCUACGUUGUCCUAAAGAAAGGAUGCUUCUUCAUUUUUUUUUUUUUUUUGAUGAAUAUUCUCACUUGGAAAUCAUGACAUGAAAACGACGAUGCAUUUGGAUCGUGACAGAGUACUUAAUGCGUUAUUGAUCGACUAGCAGAAGUUAAUAAUGAAUUUUGAAGAAUUUGAACUUCGUUUGUAUGUGUGCAACAUUUAAAGCCUUUAGUACAUACAUUAAAUACUUGUGGGAUUCACUAUAAUUAAUUAGAGUGACUCUGUAUCGGACCAUAUGCCCUCUGAUACCAGGUUUCUCCUUAGAAUCUGGCUCUGAUACCAGACUUUAUCAGAGCCGCAUGUACUAACACUUGUUGAUGCAAAAAAUUAAACAAAUAAAGUUGCUUUAGAAGUGACAUGCAUGGUGCUCACUGUGCUUGGAAUGAAGCGAGUUUAGUAGGAAAUUCUAUGAGCAUAGACAGGGUGACUGCAUUGAAAUGCUUUCAUUUGUUUAGUUAGUCAAUUCCUGCCUGCGACGAAGGAAAAGAAAAAGAAACGAGUGGUGGUGGUGGUGGUGGUGGUGGUGGUCCAGGUUCUUUUUAUCGAGUGAUGGCCGCAUUAUCAAUGCAUGGUAAGCUUUGCUGUCCAAGUUGAAAGCAUGAAAAUAAUUUGAAUUACCUUGGUAUCAUCUGUGGUUCCAUCCCCCUUGGCUCCAAAAUUUAACACAUUGAAGAUGGAAGUAGAAGGUGCAUUUCCAUAACCUUUCUGUGGUGGCCUUGGUGCGAGGAUGGGAGGUGAUGGCCUUGAUGAUAUCGGUGGUGAUGGUGUUGAAGAGGGUGGUGAGAAUGCCGGUGGUGCUUUUGGGGAUGGAGUUUUCUUUUUCGAUUUGUUAACAUGGCCAUGAUGGUAACCAGUGCCAUGAAUUUUUCCUUUCUUCUUGGACAAAGAAACUCCAAUGCCUCUGCUCUGCCUCCAAUGCUUGCCUCUUCUUGCAUAGCAACCUUCCAUGCUUGAAGACCAAAUAAGAAGAACAAUGAUCAGCAAGAAUGUGAAGUGCCUGCAGCUGAUAGAGCCCAUGGUUGCUGUAUAUUAUAUUGGGGAAGAAAAAGGUGGAGGAGGAGGAGGAGGGGGUAGGGCGUUUGGGUUCUCUACUUCCAAAGUAUAACCAACGGAGGGGUUUAUAUAGAAAGGAGGAUUUAUGGGUUAAUAAAAGUCUAAGUACUUGGGUAGAUGAUCAAACACACUAUUUGAUAAUGCUAGGCAUUCAUGUUAUAUUCUCCUUUUUCUCUUUCAUUCAUUAUUUGUAAUAUAUACAUAUAUUUUUUUUCACUUUUUGUGAAUUUGUCUUCACUUUUAUGUAACUCAAACUAACUGGGAGGUCCGUCCCUUGUUGGCAUGCGGAAAUGUAAAGUUAAAAUGUGUCCCGUCCAACGUCCCAUGCAGAACCUAUCAGCUUAAUUUUUUUCAUUGCCUGUUUAGGCACUUUGUUCCACUAAACAAUGCUAAGAAUUGUUGGCUUAUACAACUACAAAUUUUUCUUUGUUCAUCAAUGAAUUGUAAUCAUGCGAUCAAUCUCAAAAUAUCGUGUGGUGCAUAUUUUUCUUUUGUGGGUGCUUUAAUUGCAUUUGGCGAAAUCUUCUAUCGGAUCCAACACACUCCGCAGUUAUCAUCUAGUCUUAAUAGUAGUACCUUUCUCUGCAAUUCUUUCAUGGAAUGUGGUAUUACCAGCGACCGUUUGGUAUUGACAUAGUUAAUGCUGUUUUUUUUUUUCUUCUCAUGGCAUUUAAAAAAGCCAAAAGAACACGUGAGUGGGUCUAUAAGUUGUCAAGGGCACUGAUUAUAACAGCUCUUUAUGAUCACAUGCAACGUUCACGGGCUUCAGUUUUGUACUUUGUCUUCUGAACCGGCAGCACUGGCCUCACGCUGGCCUAAGCCUCAAAUCCCCUCUCAUUUCUGAUAAGCCUAAGCUUCAAUGCCUCCCUUUAGCUUUUCUUCCAUACUCUUCCCUUGAUGGUUCUUUUGGCAUUUCCCCAAUGCCCUUUUCGUUUCUUCCUCCCUUGCAAUGUUUUCUGGGUUGGAAAGGGUUGUGGGGCUCGUACGUGUGAACUAGAUGAAUUUACUGAAUACAUAGCGGAAAGGCGAAAUGAAUGAUCUUUUUCUUUUCUUCUUCGUUUUUAUUUUUCCUGAACUGAAAAUGAAAAGAGGGAACCAUAAGUUGCGAAUUAUGAUAGUCAUAAUGGAAUGUAGCUAGCUAGGUGUGCAUGUCUUUAACUUUUUGUGAGCAAGGAGCUUUCUUGAA